rnacentral:rRNA from 1 species
CGCCUCUUGACACAACAUAGGAGGUCCAGCCUGCCCAGUGACAGAGUUCAACGGCUACGGUACCCUGACCGUACGAAGGUAGCAUAAUCACUUGUUCCUUAAAUGGGGACUUGUAUCAACGGCAUCACGAGGGCUGCACUGUCUCCUUUCUUCAAUCAGUGAAACUGAUCCCCCCGUGAAGAAGCGGGGAUGAAAUUAUAAGACGAGAAGACCCCAUGGAGCUUUAAAUAAUACAGCCACACUAUAUCAAAAUAUCCUCUUACUAAAAGUCCUGACUGUAAAUUUUAGGUUGGGGAGACCGCGGAGAACAACUAAACCUCCACGACAGACGGCCUAAGCCCUUAUCCACGAAUAACACUUCUAAGAAUCAGUACUCUGAUGUUAUUGACCCGAUAUUAUUCGACUGACGAACCAAGUUACCCUGGGGAUAACAGCGCAAUCUACUUUGAGAGCCCAUAUCGACAAGUGGGUUUACGACCUCGAUGUUGG